CUUAAAUGCUCCCUCUGACUUCCUGGGUUCAUAUAUCAUGGUGUCCUGGUGCAGCUUCUCCAUGAUUCCAGUCUCCAGAAGCUUCUGCAAGCUGGACAGAAUUAUAACAAUGCUGUGUCAGGAUUCGUCUGUGGGAGUGUAAGGAAAGAAUCCCGUUGGAUUUCAGGUUCAGAUUGAAGUCACUUGGCUCUUAACAUUGGAGGAAGAUAAGUACCGUUUAUUUAGAUUUUUCAGUUAGUAUUGUCCAGCUCAAAAGGUUUAAUAUUCCAGCAUUUUAAAUGUUGUCACGUGAUAGAGUGACCAUAGACGGAUUUGGAUUAGUAAAUGGAUUUAUUGAACAUUUA